rnacentral:rRNA from 1 species
GACAGAGGGUGCAAACGUUGUUCGGAAUUACUGGGCGUAAAGCGCGUGUAGGCAGUUUCGCAAGUCGGGUGUGAAAGCCCUGGGCUCAACCUAGGAAGUGCACUCGAAACUGCGAGACUUGAGUCCUGGAGAGGAAGGCGGAAUUCUCGGUGUAGAGGUGAAAUUCGUAGAUAUCGAGAGGAACACCGGUGGCGAAGGCGGCCUUCUGGACAGUGACUGACGCUGAGACGCGAAAGCAUGGGGAGCGAACAGG